CUUUCACACGGCCCGUACCCCAAACCGACACAGGUGGUCAGGUAGAGAAUACUAAGGCGAUCGAGAUAACUAUGGUUAAGGAACUCGGCAAAAUGCCCCCGUAACUUCGGGAGAAGGGGGGCCCUGUCUGGUGACGACAUUUACUGUCUGAGCUGGGUGGGGCCGCAGAGACCAGUGAGAAGCGACUGUUUACUAAAAACACAGGUCCGUGCGAAGUCGUAAGACGAUGUAUACGGACUGACGCCUGCCCGGUGC
rnacentral:rRNA from 1 species